rnacentral:rRNA from 1 species
GACAGAGGUUGCAAGCGUUGUUCGGAAUUACUGGGCAUAAAGCGCACGUAGGCGGUCCGCUAAGUCAUGUGUGAAAUCCCCCGGCUCAACCGGGGAAUGGCGCCUGAUACUGGCGGACUCGAGAUCGGUAGGGGUGAGUGGAACUCCAGGUGGAGCGGUGAAAUGCGUGGAUAUCUGGAGGAACACCGGUGGCGAAAGCGACUCACUGGACCGACACUGACGCUGAGGUGCGAAAGCUAGGGUAGCAAACGGG